UGAAUACGAGACGCUACGGCGUCGAAGCAGUCUAUGUCAUACUUCCAAGAAAAGCUUGCACUGUCAUAAACAAAUAAUGCCUGUACCAUAACCGACACAGGUGGGUAGGUAGAGUAUACUAAGGGGCGCGAGAUAACUCUCUCUAAGGAACUCGGCAAAAUGACUCCGUAACUUCGGGAGAAGGAGUGCCUUAUUUAUAAGGUUGCAAUAACAAGAUCCAAGCAACUGUUUAUCAAAAACACAGGUCUCCGCUAAGUCGUAAGACGAUGUAUGGGGGCUGACGCCUGCCCAGUGCCAGAAGGUUAAAGAAGUUGGUUAGCAUUAGCGAAGCUGAUAACUGAAGCCCUGGUGAACGGCGGCCGUAACGAUAACGGUCCUGAGGUAGCGAAAUUCCUUGUCGGGUAAGUUCCGACCCGCACGAAAGCCGUAAUGAUUUGGAUACUGUCUCGGAGAGGGGCUCGGUGAAAUAGACUUGUCUGUGAAGAUGCGGACUACCUGCACCUGGACAGAAAGACCCUAUGAAGCUUUACUGUAACCUGAAAUUGAAAUUGGACUUUAUUUGCGCAGUAUAGGUGGGAGGCGUUGAGAAUAUUCUUGCGGGAAUAUUGGAGCCAUCAGUGAGAUACCACUCUUGUAAUGUUAGAUUUCUAACUUUGAAUCAUUAUCUGGUCAAAGAACAGUUUCAGGCGGGCAGUUUGACUGGGGCGGUCGCCUCCUAAAUGGUAACGGAGGCGCACAAAGGUUUCCUCUGAACGGGUAGAAAUCGUAUCUAGAGUGUAAAGGCAUAAGGAAGCUUGACUGUGAGACCUACAAGUCGAGCAGGGACGAAAGUCGGUCUUAGUGAUCUGACGGUGCUGAGUGGAAAGGCCGUCACUCAACGGAUAAAAGUUACUCUAGGAUAACAGGCUGAUCUCCCCCAAGAGUUCACAUCGACGGGGAGGUUUGGCACCUCGAUGUCGGCUCAUCGCAUCCUGGGGCGGUAGUACGUCCCAAGGGUUGGGCUGUUCGCCCAUGAAAGCGGUACGCGAGCUGGGUUCAGAACGUCGUGAGACAGUUCGGUCCAUAUCCGGUGUAGGCGUUAGAAUAUUGAGAGGAGCCUUCUUUAGUACGAGAGGACCGAGAAGGACAUACCUCUGGUGUACCAGUUAUCGUGCCAACGGUAAACGCUGGGUAGCUAUGUAUGGAGAGGAUAACCGCUGAAAGCAUCUAAGUGGGAAGCCCACCUCAAGAUAAGUAUUCU
rnacentral:rRNA from 1 species